UACAGAGGGGGCCAGCGUUAUUCGGAAUUACUGGGCGUAAAAGGGCGCGUAGGCGGCCACCGCAAGUCGGUUGUGAAAUCUCUGGGCUUAACCCAGAAAGGUCAAUCGAAUACUGCGGGGCUAGAGUGCAGAAGGGGCAACUGGAAUUCUCGGUGUAGCGGUGAAAUGCGUAGAUAUCGAGAGGAACACCUGCGGCGAAGGCGGGUUGCUGGGGCUGACACUGACUGACACGCGAAAACUAGGGGGAGCAAACGGGG
rnacentral:rRNA from 1 species